rnacentral:rRNA from 1 species
UACAGAGGUCUCAAGCGUUGUUCGGAUUCAUUGGGCGUAAAGGGUGCGUAGGUGGCGGGGCAAGUUUGGUGUGAAAUCCCGGGGCUCAACCCCGGAACUGCACUGAAUACUGCCUUGCUUGAGCACUGGAGAGGGAACUGGAAUUUACGGUGUAGCAGUGAAAUGCGUAGAUAUCGUAAGGAAGACCAGUGGCGAAGGCGAGUUCCGUGGACAGUUGCUGACACUGAGGCAGCGAAGGCUAGGGGAGCAAACGGG